UACAGAGGGUGCGAGCGUUAAUCGGAAUUACUGGGCGUAAAGCGUGCGUAGACGGUAGCGUAAGUCAGAUGUGAAAGCCCCGGGCUCAACCUGGGAAUUGCAUUUGAGACUGCAUCGCUAGAAUUGUGGAGAGGUAAGUGGAAUUCCGAGUGUAGAGGUGAAAUUCGUAGAUAUUCGGAAGAACACCAGUGGCGAAGGCGACUUACUGGACACAUAUUGACGCUGAGGUGCGAAAGCGUGGGGAGCAAACAGG
rnacentral:rRNA from 1 species